GAUGAACGCUGGCGGCGUGCCUAAUACAUGCAAGUCGAGCGAACAGACGAGGAGCUUGCUCCUCUGACGUUAGCGGCGGACGGGCGAGUAACACGUGGAUAACCUACCUAUAAGGCUGGGAUAACUUCGGGAAACCGGAGCUAAUACCGGAUAAUAUAUUGAACCGCAUGGUUCAAUAGUGAAAGACGGUUUUGCUGUCACUUAUAGAUGGAUCCGCGCCGCAUUAGCUAGUUGGUAAGGUAACGGCUUACCAAGGCAACGAUGCGUAGCCGACCUGAGAGGGUGAUCGGCCACACUGGAACUGAGACACGGUCCAGACUCCUACGGGAGGCAGCAGUAGGGAAUCUUCCGCAAUGGGCGAAAGCCUGACGGAGCAACGCCGCGUGAGUGAUGAAGGUCUUCGGAUCGUAAAACUCUGUUAUUAGGGAAGAACAAAUGUGUAAGUAACUAUGCACGCCUUGACGGUACCUAAUCAGAAAGCCACGGCUAACUACGUG
rnacentral:rRNA from 1 species